GUUUGCAAUGGUGCAAUGUCUGGUGUUCACACUCUGGGUCUGUGCUGUGGCACUGCAUUCCCAUGGAAGUACAGAGAGAGUAUCUCAAACGACUGAGCCAAGUGUCUCUAGGAGCACAGACCCGACGGCUGAGACAGUUACUUUAGGACCAGUUGAGACCCAAAGCCCUGAUACACACACAGACCAGAGCAUAGAAGAAGAACAAGAACCACUUCCCUCAGACCCCUGUCAGGAUGAGGAGAUGGAUAAGAGCGUGUACCAGAGGGAUUCUCAUGGUGUUAUGCAGCUGGUUCAGGGAGAGGACUACAAAAACACUUGCAACCUAUCAGACACUCCAGGUGAACAGGCCCACUGUCUUAUCUACCCUACCAAUCAACUCAACUGCUCCUGGAAUUUCCAUGGUCUCCCUAACGACAGCCAAUCCUACGCCUCCGUCUUUGUGUGUAAGAACACUGAGAGAAUCUCCAGUGUGGACUGUGUCACUGAGGCCAUAGGAGGCCAAGGAGCCCAGGGAGGGACUGGAAAGGCUGACCGUGUGGUUGGAAAUGUGUCUACUGGGUGCCAAGGCAGUGUGGACAACAGCGCCACCUCGGUGAUCCUGACUUUCAACGUGUCAUGCUCUGACGUGUGGGGCAUCUACACCCAUAAAUACCAGACCAAAGAUAUUGAUGUGCUGGGCCCGCCCCCCGACAUCAACCCAGCCUGGGUCAGAGAGGGGGUUCUGCUGGUGCAGUGGGGUCUCCCAUCCAUUCGGUCAGCUGCUUCCACUACCAGCUGCUUCCACUACCAGCUACAGAUCAAUGGCCAGGUGAGGGACUUUAAGGAUUUACUGACAUACAAUGAGACCAACUUAGACCCCACACAUUCACACGAUGUGAAGAUGAGGGUGAGGAGGAGUAAAACCUGCAGAGGAUCUCAACACUGGAGCAGCUGGAGCAACACCACCAAGGUGGCCCCGUUUGAAUUUCCCAAUCAGCUGAACUCUCUGGUGGUCGUUGGCAUCGCUCUGGGAAUACCCAUGAUCCUCCUGUCUCUGCUGCUGCUGAUUCGACUCCAAAGGGAACGUCUGUUUCCCCACAUCCCUGGUCCCCCACUGAAGAUUAAACACCUCUUGGAGAGAGACGACCAGUUUCAGUUUGUCCCUCAGGCCCUGCAGUCCAAAUUUGUUGAGGAGAUCACAGUGGUGGAGGAAGCUAAGGAAACACCUGUGAAUUUGGCCAGUUAA
rnacentral:lncRNA from 1 species